AAAGUACUCCCUCCGUCCCAAAAUUCUUGUCUUAGAUUUGUCUAGAUAUGGAUGUAUCAAGUCACAUUUUAGUAUUAGAUACAUCUGUAUCUAGACAAAUCUAAGACAAGAAAUUUGGGACAAAGGGAGUAGUAG
rnacentral:pre_miRNA from 1 species